AAUGGUUGCCGUUAAUCGAAGAAUUGCGGGGUUUUGGGUUUAUGUUUCUAUUUAUGCAAUUAUGUUACUUUUAUAAUUGAAGUAUGUAAUAACGAUAUUUGUGACUUUAAAAGCAACAAAUCUGCAUUAUGGGUGACAAAAUAAGAGUUUGCCUAAUCUUUGUGAUUCAAAGUUGAAGUGAUAAAUGUGAAGAAUGAAAACUUGUAUUGACUGGAUAAAAAAGAGAUUUUACUUCAUGUGAUUAAUUAAUAGGGAAUAAAUUGGUAAUUCAAUAAAAAUAGUUUCUUUCACAGAACUCUUUUUGCCCAACAGAAUGUGGACAGCAGAACUGCUUCAUCAGUGGGAAGGAAGGCGCACCUGGAAGGUGGUGAUGCUAGGCGUGGUGGGAAAUGCGCCAGCCUUCAGACUUGGACUGGAACUACAUCCCCCUGCUCUUCUGGGUCUCCAGCUUGCAGAGGAAAGAUUUCAGGACUUCUCAGCCUCCACAAUUGCAUGAACUAAUUCCUUAUGAUAAAUCGCAAUCUCUCUCUCUCUCCUACACACACACACACACACACACACACACACAUGUAUCCUCCUAUUGGUUCUGUUUCUCUGGAGAUCUCGACUAAUACAUGCACCUUUCAAUCAGAUUGGCCUAAUGCUGGAAGUGAGCCAUCCAUCUCUACUGUGCUGAAUUUCAACCUUUUAGUUGCCUGACCAUGGAGCGGUCUAGAUGGCCUGGGUAGCAGAAACAGUCAAAGGCUUAGAACAGCAGCUAUUUGUCCUCAUGUAUCUUAACAUUUUAGCAAGUAUAGCUAUAUCUGUGUGUGACAACAAACUAUAGAAUUUUCUUAUAAUUCUAAGGCAUUUUAUGUGUAUAUAUAUGUGUGCAAAAAUGCAUAUGCACACUAACAUAACUCCCAGAAAUGAUUUCCACUGACAAAUCAUAAUGAAUUGUAAAAAAUCAGUAUGACUAAUUUAGUACAUAAUACUAAUUAUUCUUAGAAUUUCCAUCACUAGGAGUCAAAUAUUAAUAAUUUUACCAUAAAAGUGGUGGUAAUCAGAAAAUAUUCUCACUUCUUAUGGAAAACUUUAAAGUUGAAAUGGUGCUGUUUCCAUUAAUAGCCUGGAUCUCAUUAAGUCAUUAACACAUUCUAAAUUCAAUGACAAAAAUUUGAAGUAAAGCAAGCUGCAAAAAGGAGGAAGCUUUAUUACACUUUAAAAUAUCUCUCUGCUUUGAGCUCAGGUUAAAGCUGACCAUACCAAAGACAUAAAAGUACUUUUUAGUGUGAAAUGACAUUUCUGGUCAUGUUUCUAUUGGAUGAGAAAUGUUAAGUUUAUGACAAUCAUCCAUCCUUAGUGUGAAAUUUUAUUUUUAUUAAAAAUGUGUUUAUUACUCAAGUAUUUAUAGAUUAACUAAUAUGCUAUCAUGAAUUUUUUUCAAAAGAAUUCAGUGGAUGGGUGGAGGAGUUGGAAGUAUGGAUAAAAUGAGAUUGGCUGUGUUUGAUAAUUAUUGAACCUGGUGGUGGGUAAUCGGGGAUUCAUUAUAUGAUUCUAUUUUUAUGUAUGCUUGAAAUUUUCCACAGUACAAAGCCCUUUUCUCUCCAUUUUCUAUUUUUUACUUUAGCCAUAAUUAUACUUGUGUGUCAAACUCAUAUUUUAAAAUGUAAAAUAAAAGAUCAUUAAGAUCGUAUGUAUCCA
rnacentral:lncRNA from 13 species